AUACGUAGGUGGCAAGCGUUGUCCGGAUUUAUUGGGCGUAAAGCGCGCGCAGGCGGCUAUGUAAGUCUGGUGUUAAAGCCCGGGGCUCAACCCCGGUUCGCAUCGGAAACUGCAGAGCUUGAGUGCAGAAGAGGAAAGCGGUAUUCCACGUGUAGCGGUGAAAUGCGUAGAGAUGUGGAGGAACACCAGUGGCGAAGGCGGCUUUCUGGUCUGUAACUGACGCUGAGGCGCGAAAGCGUGGGGAGCAAACAGGAUUAGAUACCCUGGUAGUCCACGCCGUAAACGAUGAGUGCUAGGUGUUGGGGGUUUCAAUACCCUCAGUGCCGCAGCUAACGCAAUAAGCACUCCGCCUGGGGAGUACGCUCGCAAGAGUGAA
rnacentral:rRNA from 1 species